CCUACGGGCUGCAGCAGUGGGAAUAUUGGACAAUAGGCGAAAGCCUGAUCCAGCAAUGCCGCGUGUGUGGAGAAGGUCUUCGGAUUGUAAAGCACUUUCGACGGGGACGAUGAUGACGGUACCCGUAGAAGAAGCCCCGGCUAACUUCGUGCUAGCAGCCGCGGUAAUACGAAGGGGGCUAGCGUUGCUCGGAAUGACAGGGCGUAAAGGGCGCGUAGGCGGUUUAUGCAGUCUGAUGUGAAAUCCCCGGGCUUAACCUGGGAACUGCAUUUGAGACGCAUAGACUAGAGGUCGAGAGAGGGUUGUGGAAUUCCCAGUGUAGAGGUGAAAUUCGUAGAUAUUGGGAAGAACACCGGUGGCGAAGGCGGCAACCUGGCUCGAUACUGACGCUGAGGCGCGAAAGCGUGGGGAGCAAACAGGAUUAGAUACCCCCGUAGUC
rnacentral:rRNA from 1 species